rnacentral:rRNA from 1 species
UAGUCCACGCCCUAAACGAUGAAUACUAGACGUCGGAAUUCCUAAUAGUUUCGGUGUCGUAGCUAACGCAUUAAGUAUUCCGCCUGGGGAUUACGGUCGCAAGAUUAAAACUCAAAGGAAUUGACGGGGGCCCGCACAAGCGGUGGAGCAUGUGGUUUAAUUCGAUGCUACGCGAAGAACCUUACCUGGGCUUGACAUCCCGCGCUACCCUGUGAAAGCAGGGGUUCCCUUCGGGGACGCGGUGACAGGUGCUGCAUGGCUGUCGUCAGCUCGUGUUGUGAGAUGUAGGGUUAAGUCCCGCAACGAGCGCAACCCCUAUCGUUAGUUGCCAGCAUUAAGUUGGGCACUCUAGCGAGACUGCCGGUGAUAAGCCGGAGGAAGGCGGGGAUGACGUCAAGUCCUCAUGGCCCUUAUGGGCUGGGCUACACACGUGCUACAAUGGUGGUGACAGUGGGCAGCGACCUCGCGAGAGGAAGCUAAUCUCCAAAAGCCAUCUCAGUUCGGAUUGUUCU